rnacentral:rRNA from 1 species
UUAAAAAGCUCGUAGUUGAACCUUGGGCCUGGCUGGCCGGUCCGCCUCACCGCGGGUACUGGUCCGGCCGGGCCUUUCCCUCUGUGGAACCCCAUGCCCUUCACUGGGUGUGGCGGGGAAACAGGACUUUUACUGUGAAAAAAUUAGAGUGCUCCAGGCAGGCCUAUGCUCGAAUACAUUAGCAUGGAAUAAUAGAAUAGGACGUGUGGUUCUAUUUUGUUGGUUUCUAGGACCGCCGUAAUGAUUAAUAGGGACAGUCGGGGG